UUAUUGGAGAGCCCAAG
rnacentral:misc_RNA from 1 species